GAUGAACGCUGGCGGCGUGCCUAAUACAUGCAAGUCGAGCGAACAGAUGAGGAGCUUGCUCCUCUGACGUUAGCGGCGGACGGGUGAGUAACACGUGGAUAACCUACCUAUAAGACUGGGUUAACUUCGGGAAACCGGAGCUAAUACCGGAUAAUAUAUUGAACCGCAUGGUUCAAUAGUGAAAGACGGUUUUGCUGUCACUUAUAGAUGGAUCCGCGCCGCAUUAGCUAGUUGGUAAGGUAACGGCUUACCAAGGCAACGAUGCGUAGCCGACCUGAGAGGGUGAUCGGCCACACUGGAACUGAGACACGGUCCAGACUCCUACGGGAGGCAGCAGUAGGGAAUCUUCCGCAAUGGGCGAAAGCCUGACGGAGCAACGCCGCGUGAGUGAUGAAGGUCUUCGGAUCGUAAAACUCUGUUAUUAGGGAAGAACAAAUGUGUAAGUAACUAUGCACGUCUUGACGGUACCUAAUCAGAAAGCCACGGCUAACUACGUG
rnacentral:rRNA from 1 species